GAUGAACGCUGGCGGCGUGCCUAAUACAUGCAAGUCGAGCGAACAGACGAGGAGCUUGCUCCUCUGACGUUAGCGGCAGACGGGUGAGUAACACGUGGAUAACCUACCUAUAAGACUGGGAUAACUUCGGGAAACCGGAGCUAAUACCGGAUAAUAUAUUGAACCGCAUGGUUCAAUAGUGAAAGACGGUUUUGCUGUCACUUAUAGAUGGAUCCGCGCCGCAUUAGCUAGUUGGUAAGGUAACGGCUUACCAAGGCAACGAUGCGUAGCCGACCUGAGAGGGUGAUCGGCCACACUGGAACUGAGACACGGUCCAGACUCCUACGGGAGGCAGCAGUAGGGAAUCUUCCGCAAUGGGCGAAAGCCUGACGGAGCAACGCCGCGUGAGUGAUGAAGGUCUUCGGAUCGUAAAACUCUGUUAUUAGGGAAGAACAAAUGUGUAAGUAACUAUGCACGUCUUGACGGUACCUAAUCAGAAAGCCACGACUAACUACGUG
rnacentral:rRNA from 1 species